AGGACGAACGCUGGCGGCGUGCUUAACACAUGCAAGUCGAGCGGAAAGGCCUUUCGGGGUACUCGAGCGGCGAACGGGUGAGUAACACGUGAGUAAUCUGCCCAUCGCUUCAGGAUAGCCAUCGGAAACGGUGAUUAAUACUGGAUAUGACAUUCCUUCGCAUGUUGGGGUGUGGAAAGUUUUUUCGGCGGUGGAUGUGCUCGCGGCCUAUCAGCUUGUUGGUGGGGUAAUGGCCUACCAAGGCUUUGACGGGUAGCCGGCCUGAGAGGGUGACCGGCCACACUGGGACUGAGACACGGCCCAGACUCCUACGGGAGGCAGCAGUGGGGAAUAUUGGACAAUGGGCGGAAGCCUGGAUCCAGCAACGCCGCGUGAGGAUGACGGCCUUCGGGUUGUAAACCGUCUUUCAGCACAGACGAAGUUUUGCGUUUUUGGUGUAGUGACGGUAGUGUGCAAGAAGAAGGACCGGCCAACCGUACGUGCCAGCAGCCGC
rnacentral:rRNA from 1 species